CCUGACACUCUGGACUUCUGAUAUCCCGGUAUUUGAACAUGUUCACCUGAUAAAUAGAUCUUAAUAUUUUGUAAAAUAAUGGUUAGAUAAAUAGAUUUACAUAUUUUUUUUAAUGAUGUGAUACAUUUUUUGCACAUUAAAUAUUUUCAUAGAUAAUUUGUGUGCACUAUUUAUUGAAUAUGGGAUUGGACAAGGUCUUUAACGUUGUCCUGGAUCUAAUUAGAAUUAAUCCUAGUAUGCUGAACAUACUUAGGUCAGAGAGCCAAAA
rnacentral:misc_RNA from 1 species